CUUAACACAUGCAAGUCGAGGGGCAGCAUGGUCUUAGCUUGCUAAGACUGAUGGCGACCGGCGCACGGGUGAGUAACACGUAUCCAACCUGCCGUCUACUCUUGGACAGCCUUCUGAAAGGAAGAUUAAUACAAGAUGGCAUCAUGAGUCCGCAUGUUCACAUGAUUAAAGGUAUUCCGGUAGACGAUGGGGAUGCGUUCCAUUAGAUAGUAGGCGGGGUAACGGCCCACCUAGUCUUCGAUGGAUAGGGGUUCUGAGAGGAAGGUCCCCCACAUUGGAACUGAGACACGGUCCAAACUCCUACGGGAGGCAGCAGUGAGGAAUAUUGGUCAAUGGGCGAGAGCCUGAACCAGCCAAGUAGCGUGAAGGAUGACUGCCCUAUGGGUUGUAAACUUCUUUUAUAAAGGAAUAAAGUCGGGUAUGCAUACCCGUUUGCAUGUACUUUAUGAAUAAGGAUCGGCUAACUCCGUGCCAGCAGCCGCGGUAAUACGGAGGAUCCGAGCGUUAUCCGGAUUUAUUGGGUUUAAAGGGAGCGUAGAUGGAUGUUUAAGUCAGUUGUGAAAGUUUGCGGCUCAACCGUAAAAUUGCAGUUGAUACUGGAUAUCUUGAGUGCAGUUGAGGCAGGCGGAAUUCGUGGUGUAGCGGUGAAAUGCUUAGAUAUCACGAAGAACUCCGAUUGCGAAGGCAGCCUGCUAAGCUGCAACUGACAUUGAGGCUCGAAAGUGUGGGUAUCAAACAGGAUUAGAUACCCUGGUAGUCCACACGGUAAACGAUGAAUACUCGCUGUUUGCGAUAUACUGCAAGCGGCCAAGCGAAAGCGUUAAGUAUUCCACCUGGGGAGUACGCCGGCAACGGUGAAACUCAAAGGAAUUGACGGGGGCCCGCACAAGCGGAGGAACAUGUGGUUUAAUUCGAUGAUACGCGAGGAACCUUACCCGGGCUUAAAUUGCAGAUGAAUUACGGUGAAAGCCGUAAGCCGCAAGGCAUCUGUGAAGGUGCUGCAUGGUUGUCGUCAGCUCGUGCCGUGAGGUGUCGGCUUAAGUGCCAUAACGAGCGCAACCCUUGUUGUCAGUUACUAACAGGUUCCGCUGAGGACUCUGACAAGACUGCCAUCGUAAGAUGUGAGGAAGGUGGGGAUGACGUCAAAUCAGCACGGCCCUUACGUCCGGGGCUACACACGUGUUACAAUGGGGGGUACAGAGGGCCGCUACCACGCGAGUGGAUGCCAAUCCCCAAAACCUCUCUCAGUUCGGACUGGAGUCUGCAACCCGACUCCACGAAGCUGGAUUCGCUAGUAAUCGCGCAUCAGCCACGGCGCGGUGAAUACGUUCCCGGGCCUUGUACACACCGCCCGUCAAGCCAUGGGAGCCGGGGGUACCUGAAGUGCGUAACCGCGAGGAGCGCCCUAGGGUAAAACUGGUGACUGGGGCUAAGUCGUA
rnacentral:rRNA from 1 species